CACGCCGUAAACGAUGGGUACUAGGUGUAGGAGGUAUCGACCCCUUCUGUGCCGUCGUUAACACAAUAAGUACCCCGCCUGGGGAGUACGGUCGCAAGACUAAAACUCAAAGGAAUUGACGGGGGCCCGCACAAGCAGCGGAGCAUGUGGUUUAAUUCGAAGCAACGCGAAGAACCUUACCUAGACUUGACAUCUCCUGAAUUACCCGUAAUGGGGGAAGCUCUUCGGAGCAGGAAGACAGGUGG
rnacentral:rRNA from 2 species